AAUUUUAUAUCCGGAUUCUCCGAGCAAUUCUGAGCUCCACGGUUCCCGACGCUGUCGGCACAUGCGCGACGGCCCUGCUCCUUCUUCCUCCUCCUCCAGUGGCUUCCACCGUCCGGGCGGCCACCGCCACCGCCGCCCAGGAGUCAGGAAGUUCAAGAUGGCCGCCGCGGAGGCUCAGUCGCUGCGGGAACAGCCAGAGAUGGAAGAUGCUGAUAAUUCUGAAAAGAGUGUAAAUGAAGAAAAUGGAGAGGUAUCAGAAGACCAAUCUCAAAAUAAGCACAGUCGUCACAAAAAAAAGAAGCAUAAACACAGAAGUAAACAUAAGAAACAUAAACAUUCUUCAGAAGAAGACAAGGAUAAAAAACAUAAACAUAAGCAUAAACAUAAGAAACACAAAAGAAAAGAGGUUAUUGAUGCUUCUGACAAAGAAGGUAUGUCUCCAGCAAAAAGAACUAAACUUGAUGAUUUAGCUUUGCUGGAAGACUUGGAGAAACAGAGGGCCUUGAUUAAAGCUGAACUUGAUAAUGAGUUAAUGGAAGGAAAGGUCCAGUCUGGGAUGGGGCUCAUAUUACAAGGUUAUGAGUCUGGCUCUGAAGAAGAGGGGGAGAUUCAUGAAAAGGCACGAAAUGGAAAUAGGUCUAGUACUAGAUCUUCAAGUACGAAGGGGAAACUUGAACUUAUGGACAAUAAAAAUAGUACAAAAAAACGAAGUAAAAGCAGAUCCAAAGAACGGACUAGACAUAGGUCUGAUAAAAAGAAAAGUAAGGGAGGUGUUGAAAUAGUUAAAGAGAAGGCAACGAGGAGCAAGUCAAAGGAGAGGAAAAAGUCCAAAAGUCCCUCCAAAAGAAGUAAGUCUCAAGAUCAAGCAAGAAAGUCAAAGUCUCCUACCCUUAGAAGGCGGUCUCAAGAGAAAAUUGGGAAGGCCAGAUCUCCUGCUGAUGACAAGGUUAAAAUUGAAGAUAAAAGUAAGUCAAAAGACAGGAAAAAAUCCCCAAUCAUAAAUGAAAGUAGAAGUCGCGAUCGAGGCAAAAAAUCUAGAUCCCCAAUUGACUUGAGAGGUAAAUCCAAAGACAGGAGGUCACGGUCCAAAGAGAGGAAAUCGAAACGGUCUGAAACUGAUAAAGAGAAGAAGCCAAUUAAAUCUCCCUCUAAAGAUGCUUCCUCUGGGAAAGAAAAUAGGUCACCCAGUAGAAGACCUGGUCGUAGUCCCAAAAGAAGAAGUUUGUCUCCGAAACAACGUGAUAAGUCAAGAAGAAGUCGAUCUCCACUCUUAAAUGAUAGAAGGUCUAAGCAAAGCAAGUCACCUUCUCGAACUCUGUCUCCUGGUAGGAGAGCCAAGAGCCGAUCCUUGGAAAGAAAACGCAGGGAGCCUGAACGGAGACGCCUUUCUUCGCCAAGAACACGACCUCGAGAUGACAUCCUCAGUAGGCGGGAAAGGUCAAAAGAUGCCAGCCCAAUCAGUAGGUGGUCUCCAGCCCGAAGAAGAGCCAGUAGAUCUCCUGUUAGGAGGAGGUCCCGCUCCCCCCUCAGACGGAGCCGAUCUCCCAGAAGAAGAAGCCGGUCUCCUCGGAGAAGGGACAGAGGUCGAAGGAGCAGAUCACGCCUGAGAAGGCGGUCUCGGUCACGGGGUGGUCGUAGACGUAGGAGCAGAAGCAAAGUAAAGGAAGAUAAAUUUAAAGGAAGUCUUUCUGAAGGAAUGAAAGUUGAGCAGGAAUCUUCAUCUGAUGAUAACCUUGAAGACUUUGAUGUUGAGGAGGAAGAUGAAGAAGCCUUGAUAGAACAGAGAAGAAUACAAAGGCAGGCCAUUGUUCAGAAGUACAAAUACCUUGCUGAGGACAGCAACAUGUCCGUGCCGUCUGAGCCCAGCAGCCCCCAGAGCAGCACUCGCACCCGCUCUCCCUCUCCUGAGGACAUUCUGGAAAGGGUAGCUGCCGACGUCAAGGAGUAUGAACGGGAGAAUGUUGAUACGUUUGAGGCCUCAGUCAAAGCCAAGCAUAAUCUCAUGACAGUCGAACAGAAUAAUGGUUCAUCUCAGAAGAAGCUUUUGGCACCCGAUAUGUUUACAGAAUCUGAUGAUAUGUUUGCUGCGUAUUUUGACAGUGCGCGUCUGCGGGCUGCUGGCAUUGGGAAAGAUUUCAAAGAGAAUCCCAACCUCAGGGAUAACUGGACUGAUGCAGAAGGCUAUUAUCGUGUGAACAUAGGUGAAGUCCUGGAUAAGCGUUAUAACGUGUAUGGCUACACGGGUCAAGGCGUGUUCAGUAACGUGGUCCGAGCCAGGGACAAUGCGAGGGCCAACCAGGAGGUGGCCGUGAAGAUCAUUAGGAACAACGAGCUCAUGCAAAAAACUGGUUUAAAAGAAUUAGAAUUCUUGAAAAAACUGAACGAUGCUGAUCCUGAUGACAAAUUUCAUUGUUUGCGACUCUUCAGACACUUUUAUCACAAACAGCAUCUCUGCCUCGUGUUUGAGCCUCUGAGUAUGAAUUUACGAGAGGUGUUAAAAAAAUAUGGUAAGGAUGUUGGCCUUCAUAUUAAGGCUGUACGAUCCUAUAGUCAGCAGUUGUUCUUGGCACUAAAACUCCUUAAAAGAUGCAAUAUCCUCCAUGCAGAUAUCAAGCCAGACAAUAUCUUGGUUAAUGAAUCAAAAACUAUUUUAAAGCUCUGCGACUUCGGGUCGGCUUCACAUGUUGCGGAUAAUGACAUAACGCCUUACCUUGUCAGUAGAUUUUAUCGCGCUCCUGAAAUCAUUAUAGGUAAAAGCUAUGACUAUGGUAUAGAUAUGUGGUCCGUAGGCUGCACCUUGUAUGAACUCUAUACUGGAAAGAUUUUAUUUCCUGGCAAAACCAAUAACCAUAUGUUGAAGCUCGCCAUGGAUCUCAAAGGAAAGAUGCCAAAUAAGAUGAUUCGGAAAGGCGUAUUUAAAGACCAACAUUUUGAUCAAAACCUCAACUUCAUGUACAUAGAAGUUGAUAAAGUAACAGAGAGGGAGAAAGUUACUGUCAUGAGCACCAUUAAUCCAACUAAGGACCUGUUGGCUGACUUGAUUGGGUGCCAGCGACUUCCUGAAGACCAGCGUAAAAAAGUGCACCAGCUGAAGGACUUGUUGGACCAGAUCCUAAUGUUGGACCCAGCUAAACGGAUUAGCAUCAACCAGGCCCUGCAGCACGCCUUCAUCCAGGAGAAGAUUUAAACGAGAUGAAGACGCUCCAAGGGUUUGAGUAAUUAAAUACAAAGACUGAAGAAAUUUCACAGCAGUUUAUUAAUGUAUAUAAACUUAUAAAUAUUUCUCCAGCAAAUUUGAGGAAGCAUGAUAUAUUUGAAUUAACACCAAGGGUGAUAUUUCUUUUAGAAAUGCUAGUUCAUCUGUUUUGUGUCUUAUGUGGAAUUUCACUGUAGAAAUGUUUCAGUUGCCAAGACUGCACAGCGUUACAGUGCUAAUGUAAACGGUUGCAGUUCUCGUAGAAGACAGAAGCACCUGUUAGCAAAUGAGUAGUAAUACUGGGUGGUUGAUUUAUUUUUAGCAAACUUGGCUUCAUUUUGGUCUUCAGAUAAAAUGGCCAGCAUAAAUGCUGUUUAUAUUCACGUUUUCCUAGGUGUGUGUGUGCAGGCCACAGCAGCAUGCCCUGGGUGUAGUCAGUGCCGAAAGGGGUCUGUUCCUUCUUGAGCCUGCCUGCAGGGAUGGUCUCCUCUUUUAAAGCAGGUUGUGUACAACAUUCAGUACACUGAAGGCAUAAACCUUCCACUCUUGAACAAAGCAGCUGCUUUUUAAAAGCGAGAAAAAGGAAAACGGGGCACAGGCCACUCACCGCCUUCUCCAAGGGGUCUGAUUUGCUGAGACACCAGCUUCACCUUCUUAACAAGGCACCUAAUUACAACAAGCAUGCACAUUUUGGUGCAUUCAAGAAUGGAAAAUCAGAGUAGCAGCAUUCUUCUGGUGGGUUUUGCUCCAUUUAAAGGCAUGAAAUGAACUACAGCCAGGAAGGUGAUAGAUGAUACGAUAGGCCAGCUUUGACUCUGUACCCCCGUCUCCUCGUGGUUUAGACGUAAACUGACGUAAAUUUGACCAGGUGGUGCUCAUCCUCAGGUGGUGACGCCCUGUAAACAAGGCGUCACAGGUGCAGCCUUCCUACCUGAAUGAAACGGGUAGUGAUUUUCCCACCACUGUUUACUUUGGUGAUAAUAUGCUGCAUAGUCAAGUCUUUCCUAGUUUUUUUCACUCAAAAUAUUGAUAGUUAACGUUUGUAUGUUUCUGGUGAUUUUCAUGGCUUCAUUUUAUAUACUUAUUUAAGUAAGUUAACUUCCACUAGAGACAGUUCAUCUUAUGCCUUCAAAACUGUUACGUGUUCUUUAAAAAACAAAGUUGCUUGUUACUUGUUCUUUGUGUUUUAGGUGCAGCUCAGUGGAAGAUGAUGACAGCGGAAGACAUGAGCUAAGGUUUCUGUCCUAUAAAAGAUUAAAAAAAAAAAGAAUCCUCCAUUUAAUUUUUGUCUGGUUUUUUAGUUUUCAGCAUUAUGAUUUGGGGUGCGUUACUGUGGUGCUCCUGUGUUCAUUGUAAAGUUUUCGCUUUAUCAUGCUUCCUGCCUCUCCCCCACUUCCCUCCCCUAGGAUGAGAAUAGGGGUCAGAUCUAGCGAUGUUGGCCACGUGGAUGGUGAGAUUCCGCAUCACACGUGGUUGUCAAAAUUGGUCCCUAAGGAUUAUUAGAAAAACAGUAGCCACCAAAAGAGCAUCCAUCUGACGGUGUAGUCUUCCACAUUAGGUGUCACGUCUCCUUGGCUGAUGCACAAGGGUAGAAAGGAACCCUACGAGCACUGCUCAGCUCCUGGGAUGCCCUCUUCUCCGGCUCACCCUCAGUGUCUGCGUUCAGCCAGUGCCCCGGUCACGGGCUUGAAAUAGACCAGAUAUCCAGAGCACUGCCAGCGUUCCUUCUUAAGGGAAAUGCGAGGGCACGUUCUGUCGAUCUUUGAAAUUCCCAAACUCAGCAGUCCUUGAUUUAUCUACUUGAAAGGAACCCUGUAAGCAGUGUUUAUCCACACACACGUAAUUGUAUUGGAGUCUGUAAUGUUCUAAGGCAGAGAGAUGUGGAGCUCUGCAAGCCCUCUGCUAGGUGGGCCCAGGGCACGAACAGUCCUCCGCAGACGCGCAGUCAGUUGCUGUGUAGUUUCUCUCACGAAGGUAUUGCUGUAUUUCACUUUAUGGCAAAAAUGGUGCCAAGUGAUUGUGAGACUUCAGGCUCCAUAAGUCCUAGGACGUAACCCACAAAGAUGGCGUAGUUCUCUCUGUGGUUGGGGGAGUAGUUGAGCUUACGCAUUUUAGACGCCGUUCUCUGGGUAGACCUGUUCUCAAAGGUUAUCAGAAACUAGGCUGGAACGUUGGGGUUUUGAAGGGGGUGUCUUGUCAUAAACCUCAAGACCCUCCCAGCAUCUGCGUUCACCCUCACUUUCCAGUCCUUACUAACAGCGUCCUGUUUCUGUCUGCGUUCCCCAGUGCCUGCUUCAUUCCACUCUACUUUUUCUCAAAAUAAUGUUGUGUUUAAAAAAAAAUUUUUUUUGCCAUUAUAAUUACCCCUUUCUUUUCCUGACUAAAACAAAUACUCAGGACAUUUUUACAGUCAUAGUGUUGUGGGUACGUGGUGGAGGCAAUGAGGCGCACAGUUCCCAGGUUCGCCCCUUUCUGCAUUCUUCCCCCUCCCCUCACCUGGGCGUCUCCAGCUGGCCGGGAAGAGGGAGAAUCUCUGGACCGGGAAUCACGUGUCUUCAGAUUCAGGCCGAGCAGUUGAGGGAAUCCCCUUUGAAAUGUCGAGAUAGGAAAGAAGCCAGAUGUCAAAUGCGCAGUUACUUUAUGUUAGUUAUCAUGACACUGUCAGAAGUUGGGCUUCAUAAAGUGUUUUCUUUUUCAUAGAAUCCUAGUUUAGGCAUAUAUUUAACGUGAAUUUUAUCAUUCUUUUCUGAGACGAAACGUCCUUAUAGAAAUGCUCACUACAAAUUCAUGUGUUUUACUUGUCAAUUAAUGUACACUAAAUUGACUUUUAAAAUGCUUUCCAGUUAUUUUGAUAGAUAUCAUCAUGGUAUCUUUAAUUUUUCUUCUCCUAUGUGUAGGGUAAGGGACUGUUCUUCUGAAGAAUCUUUCCAUUUAGUGAUCAAGAUAUGGAAGCUCAUCUCUGAAAAUACUUGACAUGUAUCCUAAUUAUUCCCAGUGUCAUUUGAAUUGUAACUUGCAUUUCAGCAGCAAUGUUCCCAGUUGACUUACUAGGAAAAUGUAAUAAAAUGUGCCUCUUGUUACCA